rnacentral:rRNA from 1 species
AGAGUUUGAUCCUGGCUCAGGAUGAACGCUGGCGGCGUGCCUAACACAUGCAAGUCGAACGGAGUUCUUAAGGAAUGCGACUUCGGUCAAAUGACUUUUGAACUUAGUGGCGGACGGGUGAGUAACGCGUGAGCAACCUGCCUUUCAGAGGGGGAUAACAUUUGGAAACAGAUGCUAAUACCGCAUAAGAUUACAGUACCGCAUGAUACAGUGAUCAAAGGAGCAAUCCGCUGAAAGAUGGGCUCGCGUCCGAUUAGAUAGUUGGUGAGGUAACGGCUCACCAAGUCGACGAUCGGUAGCCGGACUGAGAGGUUGAACGGCCACAUUGGGACUGAGACACGGCCCAGACUCCUACGGGAGGCAGCAGUGGGGAAUAUUGCACAAUGGGCGAAAGCCUGAUGCAGCAACGCCGCGUGAGGGAAGACGGUUUUCGGAUUGUAAACCUCUGUUUUCGGUGACGAAUAAAUGACGGUAACCGAGUAGGAAGCCACGGCUAACUACGUGCCAGCAGCCGCGGUAAUACGUAGGUGGCAAGCGUUAUCCGGAAUUACUGGGUGUAAAGGGAGCGCAGGCGGGAUAGCAAGUCAGCUGUGAAAACUAUGGGCUCAACCCAUAAACUGCAGUUGAAACUGUUAUUCUUGAGUGGAGUAGAGGCAAGCGGAAUUCCGAGUGUAGCGGUGAAAUGCGUAGAUAUUCGGAGGAACACCAGUGGCGAAGGCGGCUUGCUGGGCUCUAACUGACGCUGAGGCUCGAAAGUGUGGGGAGCAAACAGGAUUAGAUACCCUUGUAGUCCACACUGUAAACGAUGA